rnacentral:rRNA from 1 species
GAUGAACGCUGACAGAAUGCUUAACACAUGCAAGUCUUUGGCGAAGCUGUGCUUGCACCGCCUAGCCAAGGCGGACGGGUGAGUAACGCGUAAGGAACUUGCCCUGCAGUCAGGGAUAACAGACGGAAACGACUGAUAAGACCUGGUAAAGUCAGGCGGACUCAUGUCCAGCCUGAUGAAAAGAGAUGCUGCAGGAGAGCCUUGCGUCCUAUUAGCUUGUUGGUGGGGUAACGGCCCACCAAGGCGAUGAUAGGUAGCCGGCCUGAGAGGGUGGACGGCCACAAGGGGACUGAGAUACGGCCCUUACUCCUACGGGAGGCAGCAGUGGGGAAUAUUGGACAAGGGGGGCAACCCUGAUCCAGCAAUUCUGUGUGCACGAUGAAGGUUUUCGGAUUGUAAAGUGCUUUCAGCAGGGAAGAAAAAAAUGACGGUACCUGCAGAAGAAGCGACGGCUAAAUACGUG